GCUGCCUCGCCCUCCGUGAGGCAGCACAUUUCUGGCAAGGAUUUGACAGAAGCCUGGGAGCAUGACAAAGAUUUGAUUGAUUCUGCAGCACACUGCAUAGACUGAGACUUUUUGAUGUCGUGUUAAACUUGAGAUUGUCUGGCUUUCAAGAACGUUCCUCUCCCAGUUUGCCUGGCCCGUGAAUUUUAGGCAGCGUAUCUGUAGUUCACAUUCCCUGCGCCAGUCCUUGAACACAGACUUCUGAGAGACGUUUUAAAAAUACGACACUUUCAUUGGGUUCUCAGAGGACACGCAGGAGGAAAUGUCUCUGGAGGAUCUGACCUCCCUUCCUCUGGAGGCGCCUCUCAGAAAUGUCACAGUAGAGCACGACUGGCAUUGUCCCCCCAGAAGCACAGAGGGCCAGCUGGGAACAUUUAGAAUGCUGAGCAAUGAUAACUGUGAAAUUAUGAGCAGAUUGUCUGCUCUCUUCUUUCUGCAUCCACCUCUUCAUAGCCAUGACCAAAUGUUCCAUGAAGAACUUCUGCAAUCCUGCAAGUGGACCCUUCCUUCUGCUACCCUUCCCCCCACACCCUCAAGCACCACUGCUAUGGAGU
rnacentral:lncRNA from 12 species